rnacentral:lncRNA from 1 species
UGUUUGUGUCAAUCGUGAACGCAGAGGGACAACUCCAGGCGGACGCAGCCAGGCUUCAUUUGUCUCCAAGUGACUGACACAAGAACCUGAUGUGAAGGCGAUCUGCAAUUGUUUUUUUUUCCAGCAAGAAAGGAAAGAGCAAGGUGUAGCUGAUUAGCAAGUUAAUUAUUUCAGUAUCCCAAGGGUUCCGGUGUGGUGGAAGCAGCCCACGGCAUCAGGCUCUGGAGAGCCAACUUCCUGACUUCAGUGAUGUGAAGAUGGUCUAAUACGUUUUUGGUGCCGGCAAGCAGCUGUCCCCCAAGCAGGUUGGCUGAUACCCCUGCUGGUGGAAAGGGGCCGGGGGC